rnacentral:lncRNA from 1 species
UUAAAUUUUAAUUUUACUAUACUUUCUAACUUGAUUUUUCUAAAUUAUUAAAAUCAAGUCCAGCAACCUAAUUUAGUUUGUUAAAUAUUGAUAAAUUUUUGAUACAGAAGUGAUAUAAAAAUAUUGUGUUCGAUGAUGCAAUAAUAAUUAGAAUAUUCCGCUACUUCUAUAUCAACAAGUUGUUAAUAUUUAGCCGAUUAAUUUUGAUUGUAAAAUUU